CCAUCUGUCUUUUGUUGGAAAAAAAACCCUGUAUUCUGGGGUCUUGGGGCUAGGGGGCAGUGUUCACCUAUUGGUACAGGCUGGAGCAGAGUGUGUGUGUGUGUGUGUGUGUGUGUGUGUGUUGAUGAUGAUGACUGGACAUUACUAAGCUCUGGUUCCAGAGAGAAUUCUAGAAGUCCGUUAAAACAACUUAGCUCAUCUUCCCAUGAGUAACUUGCUUCUUGUAUAUGCCUGUGAAAUGUUAUUCGGCGUCUAUGUGGCUGAACAACCAGGUUUAUUUGAAGAUAGAAGGUGGUUUUUUUUUUUUUAUCCAGUAAACUUUAUUUAUAUAUAACAACAGUACAAAUGGUGUCCUUGGCUUGCAAAAUAGGAGUGUUUCGUAUUUACAAUAGGUACACAAUAAUAUAUUAGAAUAACCAAAAAAAACCCCAUUUUAUUGGAACAUUUUAAAUACUUAAUUUUCUUACAGUUUUUUUUUCCACAACACCUGUAAAAACAACAAAACCAGACAACUAUCAUUGUAUUUUCUUAAAAAUAUAUAUAAUACAGAUUCCAGUGUGUCAAGAAGAGUGAGUUUGGGUAGGAGAAGUUGGGGGGAGAGGCAGGUGGGCUCGGGUCCCUAGUUUCGUGGGCUUGUCCAGACUUGCUAAUGUCUGCCCUGUAUGGAGGGGGACCACGUUCCACUAUGUUCUCCACUUGAAAUGUCAACAUAGAGGGCAAAUAAAGCCAAAGGCAGGGCCUUGACUGAUGUCCAAAGGUGCCUCCCAUCUUCCUGGAGGCUAGACAGGAGGAGUAAGCUUCACAGCCGAAAGAACAGAGCCCCGUCUGAAGGUGGAGCCCUGUUACAGCGAGGAGAAGGAGACAGACAUCCACGAGAAGCCCAGAAUCUCCAGUCUGCUUGUUGGGCUGGGGCCCUGUUUGACAAGCAGUGAUCUCGAUCAGUCAGCAACUAGGGCAUCCCUGAUACCAAGAGUGAAACUUUCAUUCAUGGUAACACUGAGGCCCGGGUGCUAAAACUUCCUCCUCUGGGGAAACCAGGAGAAAGUCAGGAGACCGAGAAGAGAGACUCUGGAGUUAUGAAGGGGAUCCUGCCAUUUUUUCAAAGCUUGUUCCAGAGACAAGGCCCUGAACUUCAUCUCCCCAUCUUCCCGCGAGAUCUGCUGCCACAGCCCUUCCAGCACACCCAUCCAUCGCUUCUGCUUCAUGCUCAGCAGGGCCAGAGGCCUUGAACGCUAUUUCUUGUCCCCAUUUGGUGGAAAUGAAGAAAGGUCAGGAGCUCAAGCAGCAGGGGACGCGCCACCAGAAGGGACAGCGGCAGGAGAAAUGAUAGAGCCUCUCCCUGCACAAGGAAUGUCCCCAGAAUAAGGUAAGGCAGCUGGGUUGGUCCACUUUCUUCCUUCUUCCGGUCCCUUUUCUGCACAACUCAUGCCCUCUGCAGGUGGUGGGGGAGAAUCUACCUACUAAGUUGGUGGCAGGGACCAGUAGCCUGGAGAGUGUAAAUCUGCUGGAAGGUCCUUCUUGGUCUUGUUCGUGGCUGUGUUUCAGCACCCAGAACAGUGCCUAGCAGAUAGCUGCAGUGUAUGAAGGUUCCCUGAAUGGACGAAUGUAGGAACCAGUCCCCACCCUGCAGCGAGGUUAACAGCUGAUUCACACUUUGAAUGACUGAGCUCUGCAAGGAAGGGGAGCUCUCUGCAGCGGUGGAUCAGAAAUGAUUUGAGAGCUGUGCUGCGGGCAGAGGCAGCAGACCAGGUGAAGUGACCUGCUCCACCAAAAUGGACAUCUCGCCCAUCUUCGUCUUGUCUGUUAGCACCUUCUGUCUUGCCAAGCACAUUGCUGGGGGCCUUUUCCAGAGAACUGUCGCUGGUGCAGAUUAACGAAACACAACGAAGCUGGGCUGGUUUUUGAGAGGCAUUGCCCUUCCUGCCUCCCUCCAAGAUGGCUGGCUUCGUGGGGGUGGGGGCUGUGACUUUUUCCUUACAUGAGCUCCAAAUAGCUCCAAAUCGGAUAAUAGGGAGGAGAGAGGCCAAUCGACUCCCCGUUCUCCCCAUCCUACAGGCACGGACUCCAUCGGUUCUUGGUGACCCAAAGCCAAGAGCUGGUGGAGGAGGGACAGAGGGGAAGCUGGAGAAGGGCCAAGGCUUGACAAGUGUGCACCCUCACGGCCUGACUUGAGUCGCACGGAGUUGUCCUUUCUUGAAUUCCUUCCUCAGAGACACCCCUGUGCCACUUCCUUUGCCGUCCCCACAUGCCCCACCCUCUUACGGAAUCCUGAGGAAUGUGGCCAGACCAUUCACGCCAGCUCUGGUUCCUCUCCUCUCCACUCUCCAGUUGGCUUAUCCCCCAUCCUUCUCCCCACUCUCCAAACACCUUCAAGGAACAGCCCCAGGGCAGCAAAUAGUCACCCAAAGUAGCUCCUGGUUGACACUCGGGUGUGCACCCGAGAUGCAUAGAGGUAAGUGUUGGUUGAGAAGCUGUUGAAACGUCAAACUUCCUUUUCCUUCUUGGUGGAACAAAACCCCGGAUGCUGGUCCGUGCAGGGGCGUGAUCAGAAAACCUUCACUCGGAGCUCACAUGUAACAGGAGGGCGGGCUGGGAUUUUUCUGUGGGUGGGAUCAAGUCCCCGGCUCACAUGCCUCUUGCUCACAUCCUCUCUCCUUUCAUCGCCCUAAAUCACAGGCUCCAAGCUGAGAAGCUUUGGGUGCUAUGAAGAGCAAACACUUUGGCUUAGUGCGGAAGGCCAGUCAUUAGUAUUUCUUUCAGGCUAUUAAUAGGGUCCAGAGAAACUUUAGCAGAAGUGGAUUAUCGGAAGAAAGUGGGCUUGGCAUGGCUGGUUGUGAAUUAUAAUGAAAAGAGCGAGUUUCCUGAGUAUUUUGCUGAAGGCUUUUCUCUUUCCCUCUGUCAGCUGCAUUCAUUCAGGCAAGAAACUGGAGCUGAGGAGCCCGGGCGAUGUCUGCUGUGUGGUUAGCACGGCACUCCACAGCCACACGCCGGGGACGGAAGCCAGCCCGCAGAGCUCCCCCUCCCCCAGUCCUUUCCUGGGAAUCCAGUGUGGUCAGCAGAGCCUUUGGAAAUUGGAAUUGUUUGGAGGUAAAUCAUGGCACAGAGAAGCUGGGGCCCAGAGUUAAUUACAGAGGAAAUGACCCUGGUCUGGUCUCUGUGGGGCUGCCUGGUCCAGUUUCUCAGCACCGCGGGCCCUUGUAGAAAGUAGGAAGGGAGCGGUGGUCCUCUCCUGCCUGCCUCCUUCCCACCCCUUGGCCUUUCUCUCGCCCUCCUUCUCCUUCCCUCUGAUGCUCUGACAGAGAAGCUGGAGCUGCCUGCUUGGAUCCUUGCCAGUGUGGGAGGCCUGGAAACUCUGGUGGCUGUCCCGGUCACCUAGGUCUUGCCACCAACAGAGCCAUGACUCCCGCUGGCUUUCGUGGCGCCUUUGGACCCGGGUGUGGAGCUUUGGUCUCUUGGUUUAGAAACUACACUCAGGAGAGUGGGUCAUCCAUGGUUUUAGGUGUCAGCAGAAGAGAGUGAGAAAGAAAGGAGCCCAGUGAGAAGCCACCCACUCGUCCUUGAAACUCAUGAGGACAGGAGAGGCAGAGAGAGAGGCAGGAGACAGUAACGUGGGGAUGCUACAGUCAUUUCUACUGAGGCCAGGGCUCAGCCGACCAGGAGCUCCCACACAGGAGCGGAGGGCCGUCUCCCCUCUGCAGGCACAAGAAAACGAUAGAAAGCGUCACAAUCAACACGGCAGCAUCUUUAACCUACGCUCUUCAAGUAUUGCUUGCUGUAAACAGUGUUUGAUGUUUGCUUUCUCUCGAAUUGCCAAGAAACCACGGGCAGACUGGAGUGCAAUCUAAAGCCAGAUACCCAUGUCGCCCAGUCAGCUCCCAGAUGGAAUCUCCCGGGGGGGGGGGGGGGGGCACACACCUCCAGGCCCUUUCCCCAGGGUGCCCGGUUCAGGACCGUGACUGAUGUAGGGCAAAGCUGCCCGGUGUCCGCAGGGAGGCCAGGCGUCGGGUCUGGGAGAGGCCCGGCUCUCCGCCGCGUCUCCUAGUAACUUUACAGGCAUCCAAAGGGAAAAGUACCAAAGGUCAGCUCCUCGCUUCUUGAGGUUUGAGAUGAAACAAGAGGAAAACGAACACAAAAGCAGUAGCAAAAAAGCACUGGUAACUCUAUGGACACAGAGCUCCUCUCCAGGGAUGAGAGCCCACGGGGAUGUGGUAGGUAAAGCUCUGCACCCAGCCAGCCGGGCUGAGCCCCCUCCACGGCGCUGCCGUCUGCACCGCGCUCUGUAGCUCCCAUGCUCCUGUGGCUGCCGGGGUAAUUCCAGGUUUUCCUGGCCUCUGUUUCGGUGAAGCGUUCGGGGUGAACUUGUGCUCGUUCUUCUCCUCCUCCCCAUUUUCUCGUAAUUUCCAGGGGAAGGGAAUGAUCGUUUUGCCUCCAGUUUCUCUCAGGUUCUCUUUGCAGGCUUUUUCUGGCAUGUGGGAAGAGGAGUCACUCGAGGAAGGGGGGAGGGAAGAAGGAAGGGGGGCAGAAAUCAGAAUGAAACAGAAGUUGGACGGGAUUAACAGGGAGGCUUUUUGUUUUAUUUCUGUGUUUUUUUUUUCCUUUUCUUAAAAAAAAUUAAAUAAAGUUCUCAUUAUUUCCCCAA